UGUCCUGGACCCAGCCUGACCCCUUUCCCAUGACCUCCAGGCAGAGCUAAGGCUUCUGCCUUUGUGGAACCAGAGAAGCUGGAAAUGCAGGCUGUCUGCGAGUGCUGUGCCUUUAAGACCAGUGAAAGGCUGCCCACCCUCGGCCAGGCCUCCCCUGGUCAGAAAGCCCUGUCACUGCAGCUCUUGCCAAGACACGCGCCUCCAUGGUCCAAAGCAAACAGGAGCGAGCGAGAAACUCCUCCAGUCCCUCCUGCGUGCACCCACACAGCCCCUGCCUUCAUGAGCCACUCAGCGGGUCCUACCUGUGCCCACCCUGCUCCGUUGCCCAGGGCCUUCCCUCCCCUAGACGGGCUCUGAGGCCACCAGGGACCCAGAACCUCCCCUGGGCACCUGGGGCCUGGAUUCCAAGACCAUUAGCACAGGCUGCUACGUCACCAUUUGGAAGGCUCCGUGGAGUCCGUGUCAAGACAGCCUGGGCUGCUGCCACCUUCCCACUCAGCUCCAGCCUGCCCACCUCACCGAACAGGCCCAGAAGCCAGUGCUAGGCUGGGUCCCCGCCAAGCCCACAGGGCUCUGGUGUGUCUGAGCAGACCAAGGUCAUGGGUGAGGCACCCAGAAGGAGGCCUGACUAACAAGCAACGCAGGCAGAGAGGGACACAUGGUUAAAUGACAGGUAGCGGAGAAUGGUUUCCAGCGAGGGCGCCAGAGCCAGGCUGCCUGGGAUUGAGGCCCAGCUCUGCUACUUGCCAGCUGCAUGAAUUUGGGCAAUUGCCUCAAUUUUCUCAUCUGCAAAACCGACCCAAAGUACCCACAUCUCAGUGUUGUUACGAGGAUUAGAGGAGCUAAUCCUUGAAAAGCCUUCAGAAUAGUGCCUGAUUGGAAUCAGAAUAGUGCCUUCAGACGAGCACAAGUCGCAAAGCGCUGACAUGAAGUGAAAUUCUAAAGAAGGAACCAAGACCUCAAUGCGCCUGGGUGACUGGGGCCAGGGAUGGCCAGGGAAGCAGAAAGAAAUUUGCUAAGGAAACUUCAGAUUGCCACCAUGAAUAAACAACGAGGACCACUGGCUCCAACCAGAAAAGCACACACGAUGAAAACAAAGCUAUGUAGUACAUUUGAACCGUGCCACAAAUGAAGAGGCUGAGCCUGUGGCCCGCUCUUUCUUUGCUACACAGAUUUGCUAGACAGGGGUUAAAGAUCAUCGAACAUCAAACUGAGAUAAGUCAGAAGGCUUGGAAGAGAACUGCAAUGAGACAAACUUUUCCCACUGUGUGAUGCAGAAGGAUUGAUAUUGCCUCUCUGCCACCUAAGAUCCUCCCCUGUAUCAUGGUGUUGGGUGGACUACAGCUUUAGGAAGCCAACGUCAGACUAGUGUGGUGCCUGGUCCUUCAGAUUGGCUGAAGGAAGAGACUGAAGAAUGAGGCUUAAGUUCUCAUUGGUGAGAUGGGAAUAUGAAACAGCAUGUAUUUACUACCAGUGUUGUGGGGAGAAAAAGAAAAGAAAAGAAAAGAAUGGAAAGUGCCCAGAAAUGUGCCUGGUGCUUAAUAGAUCUAUUUGCAGCCUGGAGAAGAGAGCUGUGGUCACUUGAAAUAUAAAGAUUAUCCUUAUCCAUUUAACUGGCUUACUCCAGUGCCUAAGAUGCGUACAUGUACGAGUUUGUAUAUUUUUCCCCUUUCUCUCUUUGCUAAAAAUGGAAGCUUCUUGGCCCCAGAAUGGACUUGGUUUCAACUAAAAGCUGUAGGCUGACAACCAUCCCCUCCCUCCCAGCUGAGUUCAGCCCCUCUUCAAUUGGGCAAAAAUAAAACGGGGACAAUUUAGACUUUAAAGACCAUCUCCAUAAACAAAACAAACCCACUCCACAAUUUGUCUAGGGCAUUCCUCCCUCCAAAGCCUCCUUAUUUAAUUUCUGGGGAAUUUUAAAUAGAGGGCUUGCAAAAAUCCAGUACCGCCUGACGUUAGCAGCUCUCUGACAACGUGGAUUCUUCUACUUGGUGUGGGGAGCAGCCACCACGAAUGCCGAUGCUUUUCCAGGCUCCUUUCCCAGUUGGAAUUUGGGAGCCACUGGUGUCACCCUAGGAGACAAGAGGCAGAGGGCACCCUAGGUGCCUAAGAGACAGAGUCCCACUUGGGGUCGUUUAACUCUGCAUUCCCCAAGCCCUCCGGCCAGGUGAACCAAUGAACCUGAGUAACACCUACACUAGUGUCAUCUUAGUGUGUUUAUUUAAGUUGACUUUAUUUUUUAAAACUUAAACAUGUAUUUCAAAAAGACAUUUUCCUAUGCUACAGUGGAUGGAAAACCAGCAUUCCUAGGUAUAGACGGGAGAUUCCGGAAAAACACAUACAAUGAAACAAUGCCAUGAAGUUCAACAAGAGAGCAAGGCAAGUUCUAGCAAGAUUCUAAGCCUGGGUCAGAUUUGCUCUUGGUCAAACAAACAAAUGACAUCAGCCAGCGUCUGACAGAUGUUAACAGCACAGGAGCCCCAAAUGGAGAUUCUCCCCUUGACCCAAUGUGGAGUGAAAGAGAACUGAAAGGAAAGAAACUUCUCAUGACGAGAUUCAAUGCCACUCAAUGCUGUGUCCGCCCAGCACAUGUUUGCACGACCCACUCUCGGGGAACCACUGAUCUUCUUCAGGUGAAGCUUGGGGUAAAGAAUCUGCAGACCAGGCCAGGCGCGGUGGCUCACGCCUGUAAUCCCAGCACUUUGGGAGGCCGAGGCGGGCGGAUCACGAGGUCAGGAGAUCGAGACUAUCCUGGCUAACAGGGUGAAACCCCAUCUCUACUAAAAAAUACAAAAAAAAAUUAGCAGGGCGUGGUGGCCUCCACCUGUAGUCCCAGCUACUGGGGAGGCUGAGGUAAGAGAAUGGUGUGAACCACGGACAUGGAGCUUGCAGUGGGCUGAGAUUGCACCACUGCACUCCAGCCUGGGCGACAGAGCGAGGCUCCAUCCCAAAAAAAAAAAAAAAAAAAAAAAAAGAAUCUGCCGAACCUUGGUUCAAAUCCAAGCCUGGCCACAAGCAAGCUCUGAGGUCUCAACUGUUUCCUUUGAAAAAUGGAAACAAAGCCACCUGCCCUACUUACCCUUAGAGAGUUACUCUGAGAUAAUAGAUGAGAAAAAUGCUUUGAAAAGGAUAGGCCAGGUGCGGUGGCUCACACCUGUAAUCCCAGCACUUUGGGAGGCCGAGGUGGGCAGAUCGUUUGAGUCCAGGUGUUCAAGACCAGCCUGGAAAACAUGGUGAAACCUUGUCUCUACUAAAAAUGUAGUUUAAAAAAUUUAGCGGGGCAUAGUGGUACGCACCUGUGGUCCCAGCUACUCGGGGGCUGAGGUGGGAGGAUCACUUGAGCCCAGGAGGUCAUAGCUGCAAUGAGCCGUGAUCAUGCCACUGUACUCUAGCCUGGGCGACAGAGUGAGA
rnacentral:lncRNA from 1 species